UACCAGCUCUCCGAGUGGUAGGGAUGAUUAUUGGGCUUAAAGCGUCCGUAGCCGGCUUAGCAAGUCUCCUGUUAAAUUCAGCGACCUAAUCGUUGAGCCGCGGGAGAUACUACUAGGCUAGGAGGCGGGAGAGGUCAACGGUACUUCCGGGGUAGGGGUGAAAUCCUAUAAUCCCGGGAGGACCACCAGUGGCGAAGGCUGUUGGCUAGAACGCGCUCGACGGUGAGGGACGAAAGCUGGGGGAGCGAACCGGAUUAGAUACCCGGGUAGUCCCAGCUGUAAACGAUGCGAGCUAGGUGUUGGGGUGGCUACGUGCCACUUCAGUGCCGCAGGGAAGCCAUUAAGCUCGCCGCCUGGGGAGUACAACCGCAAGGCUGAAACUUAAAGGAAUUGGCGGGGGAGCACCACAAGGGGUGAAGCUUGCGGUUU
rnacentral:rRNA from 1 species